AGGGGAAUAGUUUAAGGGUAGAAUAGUGGUCUCCAAAACCAUUGGUGGGAGUUCGAAUCUCUCUUCCCCUGCCA
rnacentral:tRNA from 1 species